UCUUCCAGACAGACCUUGGGUGACCUUGCCGUGGCUGUGAUAACCUCGCAGCUACACGUGACCUCUGUGAUACAAUGUCAUAGGAAGAGGAGGAGGAGGAGGAGGAGGAGGAAGAAGUAGAAUAUGAAUAGAGAAGAGAAAAUGAAUGGCAAGGAAGAGGAGAUAAAAGGAAGAGGAAGAGCAAGAGAGGGAGAAGAAGAAGGAGGUGGAGAGAAAACGGAGAAGGAAGAGAAAGAAAACGAGGAAGAGGAAAGUAAGAGGGAGCUAUUUCGUGCUAGUUGUUUUUCUUUUUUUUUUCUUUAUCUGUUUAUUUGUUGUGAAUUUUAAGAUAUUUAUUACCCUUCCCCUCUGUUCCUCUAUCUCUACAAUCUAUAUUAUCUCUUCUUUCUUUUCUAUUCUCCUUUCUCCUUUUUUUCUAUAUAUUCUUAAACGUAAUUCUCUCUCCUAUUGUUACCUCAUUUCUAUCUCCCAUUUUCUCUCUCUUUCUCCUUCUCUCUCAUCGCCUUCACUCUCAUUCUCUUUCUCUGCGUCUCAGGUGUUUGGGGGUUCCUGAAGAGGCGACAUACAGGGCCGUAUUGCUAAAAAAUUCGUCUCCAAAGUUCAUCUAUUUGACAAGGCUUUCCUAGGAGUUUGGGGCAUUUCCAGAAGUAGUUUUAUGACCCUGGUGGUAGUUUGACCCUUCUUCUGUACCGCUCAUUAGAACCCGACUGACCCCCUCUUUGACCUUUAGAAAUAGUUGAUGUGAGAAGCAAAAAUGUCUUAUAAUACCGACCUCUAUAGCGUCUGCACUCCUCCAUCUCUACCAGCUUCGCCUUGUAUAGUAAAAAUAAAAAAAAAGUUAAGAGAGUGGAAAGUGUAAGAAACCUCAACCCUCAGAGCCUGCAGCGGUGGUGGUUGUGGUGGCAGUGGUGGUGGUGGUGGUGGUGGAGGUUGAGGGGGUUGAGCGGGAUCUUUUGUAUGGCUGAAACACUGGAGCACGGCUGGAAAAGGUUACUUGCAGGUCGAGGCUGGACGAGGCGGGGCGGGGUUGGAACCUUUGCCGGCCGCUAUAUGCUGGCUGUAAUGUCUUGAAUGUUUGCACGGCGAUUUCUGUGAACACGAGGAUGACUGACGCCGGAUUUUUUCAACGUCGUCAGUUUUUAUUUAUUUAUUUAUUUUUGACAGCAGAGGAGACAGUUCAAGGGCGUAAAAAAAACAAUAAUGAAAGAAAAAACCCGCUACUUUUCGCUCCUGAAUAGAGAACAGAAGAGUAGCCAAAAAGAGAACUGUACUUAGUGAGGAGAGGUGUCCUGAUGCCCUCCUCUAUUAAGUUAUGUGGCUAUUUGGUCUAUUUUGGAGUGUUGGAAGUGGUUGAUUUUCACAGAGUUAUAUUGGUAUAGUUAAGUCAGUCGUAAAAAAGAGAGAACAACACGGGGAUAAAAUCAGGAAAAUUAAAAUGAUCUUUGUUGAAUUACUUUUUGUUCUUGUGCUUUAGUUGAGGUCUUGAGGGUACUUUGUUAACAUUCAACACUUCUUAAGCAUCUAAGUAUAACAUCAAUAAGACGCAAAAACAGAAGGAGAAAGAAAACGUAAUGCAACAAGAGGUAAGGAAAACAAAUAAAAAAAGAGAACAAAACGGGAAAAAAAAUCAGAAGGCGACGCAAAAAAACAGGAAAAAGAAAACGAAAUGCAACAAGAGGUAAAGAAAACAAAGAUAAACAAAUAUAAAACAACUAGCUAUACCUUGAAAAAACGGUCAGAAAAGAGACAAAUCAGCCACACUAUUGUUAAUGAAGACUUACACGUCGUUUAAAAAUUAAGGUGUAAAUGAAGAAGUACAAAUAUGCAUCGACGAGAAUGUGACCACGACGCCUGUGAUAGUGAAUAGUGAACUUGAAAAAAAAAGGUGAUUUGAAUAGUAGAAAAAAAAUAGUAGAAGUAGUACACUGACGAAGAUAUGACCCCGACAGUGAACUCGAAAAAGAUUGAUUGAAAGAUAUAGAAAAAUGCAUUGCCUGAGAGGAAGGUUUUUGGCGCAAGUCCCGAGAAAGUAUUGAACCCGAAAGACUAAUUGGAGAAGAGGGAAAGGAAAAGAAAAACGAAAAGAAAAAGAGAAAAUCAUUAACUGAGGGCGGUGUUGUGAAUCCUGGGAAAAUUAUGGACGGCAGAAAAAGAAAAGAGAAGAUAGAAAAGACAACUGAAAAAAGUGUUACUCCCACGAACAUAAUGAACAGGAAAAAGAAAACAUUAAUAGGAGAUAAAAUAGAAAAGUGCAAUGAAUGAAGGAAAUUAAAAAAAACACUAAAAAAGAAAAUAAUAGAGAAAUGCAUUGAAGGAAAAGAGUGUUACUGUGACUCUUACGAACAUAAUAGACGUGAAAAAGAAAACAUUAAAAAAAGAUAAAAUAGAAAAAGUGCAAUGUAUGAAGGAAGUGUUACCGCGAGUCCUGUUAAUAUUAUGAAUGUAAAAAAAAAGAAAAUAUUACAAAAAAGAAAAGAUAGGAAAAUGCAUAGAAGGAAGAGUGUUACUGGGACUCCGACGUAGAUAAUAAAUGCGAAAAAGAAAACAUUAUAAAGAGAAGUUAAGGUAGAAAAUUGUGAGUUCUGUUGAGAUUAUGAAGCGAAAAAAACGAAAAAGGAAACACUAAGAAAAAAAACAGGAAUUAAAGAAGGAAAAGAUGAGGAAAAGAGAAAAGUAGAGAAAAUAAAAGAAACGCAGAUGAAAAGAGAAGAAGAACUUAAAUAACAAAAACAUUAAACAAACAAAACAAACAAUGAAGUAAAGAGGAAAAGAUGAGGAAAAGAGAAAAGUAGAGAAAAUAAAAGAAACGCAAAUGAAAAGAGAAGAAAACUUGAAUAACAAUAAAUAAACAAAACAAAACAAACAAUGAUUCGAGUCAGAGAAAUAUGGUGAAAGAAAAUUAGAAAAAGAACAAAAAAAUAAAAGAUAGAGGAAUGAUACUCAGCGAAUCACUAAAUAAGAAAAAGAAAGAAAAUGAAAGAAAAGAGGGAUUUGACUGACGCUAAAUGAUACAGCGAAGACUGAAAUAUUACCGAGACUAAUGUGAAAAUCGUAACCGCGAAAAUGACCCAAAGAAAAUGAGGUAGAAAUGUGCAUCGACCGAGUGAAAUGUGAACUUUGAAAAUAAUGAACGUGAACAAGACAGCUGUAGGGAAUGGUUGAAGAGGAGAUUGUCUGACGCUGAAUCUCAUUACAGUGAUUGAAUUAUUACUUUACUCUUUGAAAAUAAUGAACUCUAGAGGAAUAUAGAUGGAAAACAGCGCGAUUUGUGUGAUAUAAUGAACGAAAAAAAGAAAAUCACUAAGAAAUGGUAGAAAAGGAGAUUGACUGACGCUAAAUCUUAUUCCAGUUAUUGAAAUGUUACUUUACUCUUUGAAAAUAAUAAACACUAGAGGAAUAUUGAUGGAAAAAAAAGCGUAACAUGUGUGGAAAAUAGUGAACGAAAAGAAAGAAAAUCGAUAAGAAAUGGUAGAAAAGGAGAUUGACUGUCGCCGAAUCAUAUUGCAGUUAUUGAAAUGCUACUUUGCUCUUAAAUAAUAAACACUAGAGGAAUAUAGAUGGAAAAAAGCGUGAUUUGUGUGAAUAUAAUGACCGGAAAGAAAGAAAAUCGCUAAGAAAUGGUAGAAAAGGAGAUUGUCUGACACGCUAAAUCUUAUUGCAGUUAUUGAAAUGCUACUUUGCUCUUAAAUAAUAAACACUAGAGGAAUAUAGAUGGAAAAAAGCGUGACGUGUGAAAAUAAUGAACGAAAAAAAAGAAAAUCGCUAAGAAAUGGUAGAAAAGGAGAUUGACUGACGCUAAAUCAUAUUGCAGUUAUUGAAAUGUUACUUUACUCUUUGAAAAUAAUAAACACUAGAGGAAUAUUGAUGGAAAAAAAAGCGUAACAUGUGUGGAAAAUAGUGAACGAAAAAAAAGAAAAUCACUAAGAAAUGGUAGAAAAGGAGAUUGACUGUCGCCGAAUCAUAUUGCAGUUAUUGAAAUGUUACUUUACUCUUUGAAAAUAAUGAACUCUAGAGGAAUAUAGAUGGAAAACAGCGCGAUUUGUGUGAUAUAAUGAACGAAAAAAAAGAAAAUCACUAAGAAAUGGUAGAAAAGGAGAUUGACUGACGCUGAAUCAUAUUGCAGUUAUUGAAAUGCUACUUUGCUCUUAAAUAAUAAACACUAGAGGAAUAUAGAUGGAAAAAAGCGUGAUUUGUGUGAAUAUAAUGACCGGAAAGAAAGAAAAUCGCUAAGAAAUGGUAGAAAAGGAGAUUGACUGACGCUGAAUCAUAUUGCAGUUAUUGAAAUGUUACUUUGCUCUUAAAUAAUGAACACUAGAGGAAUAUAGAUGGAAAACAGCGCGAUUUGUGUGAUAUAAUGAACGAAAAGAAAGAAAAUCACUAAGAAAUGGUAGAAAAGGAGAUUGACUCGCUGAAUCAUAUUGCAGUUAUUGAAAUGCUACUUUGCUCUUAAAUAAUAAACACUAGAGGAAUAUAGAUGGAAAAAAGCGUGACUUGUGUGAAUAUAAUGACCGGAAAGAAAGAAAAUCGCUAAGAAAUGGUAGAAAAGGAGAUUGUCUGACACGCUAAAUCUUAUUGCAGUUAUUGAAAUGUUACUUUACUCUUUGAAAAUUAUAAACUCUAGAGGAAUAUAGAUGGAAAACAGCGCGAUUUGUGUGAUUAUAAUGAACGAAAAGAAAGAAAAUCACUAAGAAAUGGUAGAAAAGGAGAUUGUCUGACACGCUAAAUCUUAUUGCAGUUAUUGAAAUGCUACUUUGCUCUUAAAUAAUAAACACUAGAGGAAUAUAGAUGGAAAAAGAGCGUGACUUGUGUGAAUAUAAUGACCGGAAAAAAGAAAAUCGCUAAGAAAUGGUAGAAAAGGAGAUUGACUGACGCUGAAUCUUAUUGCAGUUAUUGAAAUGCUACUUUACUCUUUGAAAAUAAUAAACACUAGAGGAAUAUAGAUGGAAAAAAAGCGUGACUUGUGUGGAAAAUAAUGAACGAAAAAAAGAAAAUCACUAAGAAAUGGUAGAAAAGGAGAUUGUCUGACACGCUAAAUCUUAUUGCAGUUAUUGAAAUGCUACUUUGCUCUUAAAUAAUAAACACUAGAGGAGUAUAGAUGGAAAAAAAGCGUAACUUGUGUGAAAAUAAUGAACGAAAAGAAAGAAAAUCGCUAAGAAAUGGUAGAAAAGGAGAUUGACUGACGCUAAAUCUUAUUGCAGUUAUUGAAAUGUUACUUUGCUCUUUGAAAAUUAUAAACACUAGAGGAAUAUAGAUGGAAAAAAGCGUGACUUGUGUGAAUAUAAUGACCGGAAAGAAAGAAAAUCGCUAAGAAAUGGUAGAAAAGGAGAUUGACUGACGCUAAAUCUUAUUGCAGUUAUUGAAAUGUUACUUUGCUCUUAAAUAAUAAACACUAGAGGAGUAUAGAUGGAAAAAAAGCGUAACUUGUGUGAAAAUAAUGAACGAAAAGAAAGAAAAUCGCUAAGAAAUGGUAGAAAAGGAGAUUGACUGACGCUGAAUCAUAUUGCAGUUAUUGAAAUGCUACUUUGCUCUUAAAUAAUAAACACUAGAGGAAUAUAGAUGGAAAAAAAGCGUGAUUUGUGUGAAAAUAAUGAACGAAAAAAAAGAAAAUCGCUAAGAAAUGGUAGAAAAGGAGAUUGUCUGACGCUGAAUCAUAUUGCAGUUAUUGAAAUGUUACUUUGCUCUUUGAAAAUAAUAAACACUAGAGGAAUAUAGAUGGAAAAAAGCGUAACGUGGAAAAUAAUGAACGAAAAAAAAGAAAAUCACUAAGAAAUGGUAGAAAAGGAGAUUGUCUGACGCUAAAUCAUAUUGCAGUUAUUGAAAUGUUACUGUACUCUUUGAAAAUAAUAAACACUAGAGGAAUAUAGAUGGAAAAAAAGCGUGACUUGUGUGAAAAUAAUGAACGAAAAGAAGUGAAGGAAAUGCGAAAAAAAUAACGCAGAUGAAAACGAAACCAUAUGAACAAAAUUGAAAAAAGUGCAUUGGUUGACGAAAAUGUUACUGAAAAUGUCACUGAGGGUUUUUAAAUGUGAAACGAUAGAAGAAAAUGAAAAAUGAAGCACACACACACACACACACACACACACACACACACACAGUAUAGAAGAUAAAAACAAACAAAUUCCACGUGUUUUCACAAGUAUAAAAUAGUAAAAUUGAGGACUGCGAGGGAAAGGUAAGUAAAAUGAAGUGUCUCCAAGCAAAUAAAAAUAGUAAAAACAAAUGACUAGUAAGAAAAUGACAAAAAAAAAAGAAAUUUGUACCGUAAAUGUCGACUGGAAGGUUUUGUUAAGUCAUCGAAGGAGAAAAAAAAAUAUUGCAACGGUAAAGAAAAGUGAAAAAAAUUAACAAGGACGAGAGAGAGAGAGAGAGAGAGAGAGAGAGAGAGAGAGAGAGAGAGAGAGAGAGAGAGAGAGAGAGAGAAGAUAAAAAGAUGAAAACAAGAAAGUAAACAAGGAAGUAAUCAAAAAGGAAAAAGAACGAAAGAAAGAAGGGAAGAAAUAAAAAAAGAAAAAGAAAGAUGAGACAAGCAAGGAGGAGAUAAAAAGAAAUUAAAUAAAAUCAGAAAAAGAAGAAAAAAAA